ACAAAACUCUCCAAGAAUUGAGACGUGGGUCAGACUCGAGAUAGGGCAUGGAUCAAACGUCUAGCAUAACUUAAAUAAAGUGGAACAAAAUAUGAUAGAAUCUUGAAGCUAACAAAGAACAGAAAUAAGGGAAAAACAAAGGAAUGCC